GUCAGUCAUAUACAAGAUUGACUCGACUCAAGUUCAUUUGUGAAUCUCGUGAAAACUCUUUUUCAGUAUUCAUACUUGCUUUGACCAAAGACUUUCUAAACUUAAUCUCAUAAAUUGUAUAGGACUUCUCCUUUUCUACUAAGGUCGAUAGAUUUCUUCUAGAUGCAUCCUACUUCAAACAGCGAAUCUAAACCUACUGAAACCAACAUACAUAGCAAGGAUCUAAAUGGCUAGGGACUAAGAGAACGUACAGUCAAACUCAAUAGCCUUACUGUAAAUAGUCAAUGACAUCGCAGGUCAAAGAACCACUCACACCACUACAGCAUCAAGAAGACCAUCCUUGAGUGAGUAGACAUCUGUGAUUCUCAUGUUGGUCAUGGUCAGUAUAAGUUAUUCUCUAACAACCAUCCGCACCCUCACCUCAAUGUCCCUACAAUGCAGAUCUGAGACUCAUCUGCCCACAAAGGAGGUGAACUAUGCACCGAUCUCAAAUAGAUUGGUUACUGUCCUCCAUGACGAUCCUUUGAUCAGGAGCAUUUAGAAAUUAACCACUAAUUAAUGUAUGUCUCAAAUGCUUAAUACUUUAAGAAAAUAUAAAAAAUAUCUUUAUUAAUUUCUAAGAUAAAUCAUGGAUACAUAAAUAUGAUUGAAAUAAAAAAUUUUUUAUUGAUAAUAAAAAGUUACAAGUACAAGUUUUAAGCUCUGAAAUUAUAUAAUGUGUCAGCCAACAAUUGGCUUCUAGGCAUAAAUCUAACAGAUGGGCACGAGCCAAGCUUGGGAUAUAUAAUUUUAUUUUGUUAGAUGUAUGUCCUAGAAGUCAAUCAGACUGACACAUGUAUUUACUCUAAGAUAUAAUUUUAUAUUUAAUAUUAAUAAAAUUAGAUUAUUUAUUCUCUUUAUGUUGUACAUGUGUCCAUGGAUCAUCCAAAAAAUUAAUAAGAUGAUGACACAUAUUCUCAAGAGUUGAGAAUUUGAGGCACAUGUCAUUGGUGAUUAAUUAAUAAAUACUUUUGAUCGAUGGGUCAUCAUGAAAAUGAUGAUAGAUUUAGAUAGAUUGGUGCACA
rnacentral:lncRNA from 1 species